CGGGUACCGGGCGGCCGGAGGAAGGGGGCGGCCUGGACCUAGGAGCACGAUCCGGGAGGGGUCUGGGGUUGCCUCCGCCAAAAGGAGGAGAGAAGUAGGAAGCUUGUCUGGCAUGCUGCGCACGCCCAGGCGCAUAGAGCCCUUCCCUCCCAGCGGGCCCCACUUGGCUGCCCCUCAGCAUCACCUGACGCUGCACCCGGGUCUGAAGCACCGCAUUCAUCACUUCCUGCACGCGCACACCCGGCCUGAUCCCCCGCUCUUACCAACGCCAGACACUGAUGAGACGCUUGACAGAAACCUCUAGGCCCACCUGGCUUCCCCGGUCGCAAUCCCAGGAGACAAACAGGGUCCGCGUUUACCCCCACGCUGGCAGGGCCUUCCUGCCCCAUCCUGAAGGCCUGGUGCACUGUCAAGGUCUGCAGACGCUGUCUUGUCAGAUCCCAGGGCACGGUGCGCGGGUAGAGUCCUGCUCCGGGGGACAGGCUGUGGACCCUGACCAGAUGACUUAACCCCUCAAACCUUCAGUUUCCUCUUCCUGGAGUGGUCAUCAAAACUGUGCACAAGUGUCCCCAGCCCCUUCCCUGCCUUGCAGUCCCAGCCUGCAGCAGAGGACAAAGCCCUGCUGAAGGGAGCUGUCCGGAUGCUUCUUGGGAAGGUUCAGUACUGGCCUGAGGUCACCCAGCUUGUCAGCAGCGGUCCCAGCACUGAAACUCCACCUGUGCGGUUCCGAGGCCUCUGCUCCCUCACCUUCCCUGGGAAGUCGUCCUUCCCAGGCCGGGAGCCCCUCUGCAGCCUGCUGUGGCAGACCACACUCAGGUGCGGCGUCAUCUCAGGACACACCUCCUAAAACGCAGGUGGGGCCACUUACCUGUAACCCCUGUGCGGUGGCCACAGUAACAGCACGCGUGACACCGGAAGUGUGUUCUGAGGGCUGACGUGAGGCCUAAGGGGGCCUCACACACUCCAUCGCCAGAGUUAUUAACGUCACGCUCCAUUUUCUUUCUCCAUGGCCCCUACUAGAAUUCUGGGCAAUCACAAGCGAGUCGUCAGGCUGCUUGGCUGCGCUCGGAUUCCUGGUUUGGUGCUGGAUACAGAUGGUAAAACAUCUGCGUCUAGGAACCUGACCUCCACACUGCCCUGUGCCUUGUAUUUACGUGAGGCUCAUCACAUGUCCUUUACUGUACAUGCUGUUUUCCAAGCAGGAAAGAGGGGAUGUUUGAUUUCUGGAGAAAUCUUUGUUCGGAAAAACACUGUAAUACCACUUGUCAUUUAUCUCAUAUUUAUCAUACGAAGUGACACCUUGCUUGUUGAAUGGCUCCCAGCUCGAACUUUUCUGGUACUUGAACAGCAAAGUUCGAAAAAAGCCUGCUGGGUGUUCAGGACUUUGCUCUGUAGUUGAAACGAAAAUCCGACUUGAGAAAACCUGCAGGGGCUGAGAGUGAGUCACAGGUUGCGUCUCGCCACAGAGGGGAGAUGCCUCAGUGCGAGUGACGCUCUCGCUCAGAUGCACACAGGGCUUGUGUCGGGGUGUUAAGACAUUCCACACUCGGCUUUUUUGUGUGUGUGCUUUAUUUGGGUAGAAUAUCGUAACCCUGGCUCCAAGGAAAGUUAUGAUACCAGCGGUAAAGCUAAGAGGAAAACUGUGGGAACCACGAUAGAGUUAAAGAAAGAAAUCACUGCGAAACUUGUUAAAGUCCUGGAAAAAUGAAUUUAUAAGUGUAACUGUUGGGCCUCAGAACCAAUUAUUUGGUUUUCCAUUAUUUCUUAUGGGAAAAAUAUGUCUGGUUCUUGAACUUGUCGGUGUUUGAACAUGAAUUUGGAAGGAACUGAGUUUGACAACCAAAGUACCAUUGUGUAUACUUUAUACACACUUUAUAUAGUUAAAGAGGUGGUACAUGUAUACAUACCACCUCUAAUCAGCGUAAAAUUCAUUUCACUGGUAAGAACGCUGAGUCUCAAAAAGGUCACAUUGCCUGUCCAAAAGGAAACAGCCUUUGCCAGGAUUUGAACCCAUGACUGAGCUCAAGGCUCUGCUCUGACCUCUCCCACGCUGCUUGGCCCCGGCACUCAAAUUAAUUCACACCUGCGCCUUGCUAGAUGCUGCUGUCCCUUGCCCUGGUGAGGUGAGGUUUGGAAAGUGACCUGAGAUUGUGACCGUGCUAAUGUGAGCGAGUUGCCUGGUGAAAAAUGUGUGUUGAACGACCAUCUUCCUGCCCAUAUGGAGGAGGCUGCCUGUCCCCAGAAAUCCACGUGCCUCCGUGCAGAGGGGGCUGACAGACAGCAGCCCCAGUGGGCACACAUCCCGGCCUCCCUUGACAGAGUGGGCCAUAGGAUAGUGGGCCAGAGCACAGUGUGGUUUGUCGCUUGCAGGGGGACAGUUCAGAGAGUAAAUAGGAGAUUGGACUCCAAGGCCCCAGGAUGGUGAGGCCACGGAUGAAAUGACACCACUCUUUGACGAGGACAUCAGACUGGCUCAUGAGAGAGAAACAGACUAUUGUGUUAAGUCCGUGAAGCUAGACGGUUCAUGCAGCUAGCGCUGCCCUAAUACAUGCUAUUUACGCAAGCAUGUGUUGAUACAUAAAAUGCAAAGUGGAAGACUAAAACUACCAUGUGAGACCAGGCAUGAUGGCGCAUACCCAUGAUCCCAGCACUCAGGAGGCUGAGGCAGGAGGAUCACCACAUGUUUGAGGCCAGCGUGGCAGCCUAGUGAGUUCAAGGCCAGCCUGAUCAAACAGGAGUAUUCAACUCCAGUGGAGCAGGAAGAAACUCAUUUACUGGUUCGGCUAUGUUAGUCACCACACGCCUGGCACUGGGGCCAAGGAUGGGCUGGGGCAGUAUGAGCAAGUCCUCCUGAGCUGCCCAUCAGUGAGUGAAAGCACAGUUGUAGCCACCAAGCUUGGGAGAACCUGGGCUAUUGCAUAUGGAUUUGAUAAAAACAGAAGUUUGCUCCCAAAUCAUUGUGGGAAGCCAUGCUUCUUCCCCUGCUACGUGGCCAGAGACCCUAAGAACUGUGACUUAGAACACAGACUCAUUAUCAAAACCACCAGGCUCAAAUCCUGGCUCCGCACCUUUCCAGCAGUGUGAUCUUGGGCCACUUUCUCUUGGUUUCUGUUUUUUCAUCUGGAAAAUGGGGAAAUUGAUAAUCCCCACCCCAAGAAGUUGUCAUUGAAGAUGGCUAAAAGUUGGAUCUUCAUUGUCCCCAAAGACUUAGACUCCGGUGCAGUGCUAUGGGGACACAGUGGAAACUUUGAGAGGUGGGGCCUAGGGGACGCCUGCUGGUCACUGGGGUCACUGAAGGAAAUCGUGAGACCCCGGCUCCUCCUCCCCCCUCUAGUACUGGCCAAGACGUGGGCAGCUCUGCACCUCCCACACCCGCCAGGUGGCACUGCUUCACCGCAACUGGGAAGCAAAGCAACGGGGCUGAUCAGUCAUGGACUGAACUCCCCAAAACCGUGAGCCAAGUAGACCUUUCUCUUCAUCGGCUGCUCAUCCAGGCAUGUGUCAUGGUGACAGAAGGCUGACACAGGACUGAAUGAAUUAAUGCAACAACAAAGCUCACAGAGAGCAGCAAGAGCUGUGUGGUGGCCCCAGGGGAUGUUGGCACAUCCUAUUCUCUACCACCUUCCCACUAGGGUGGCAUUUUGUGUACAGGAGAUACACAAGGUCUGUUUGUGAGGUUGGCAGGUGACAUCAGGAUACAGAAGUACAGGAGGAUCAUCCCCAAUCCAGAAAACCAAACCCAAAGUGUCCUAAAUCUGAAACUCUGAGAGCCCCUCCCUGACUCCCCCCAUGGGAAAUCCUACACCACACAACCUUUUCCAGGCACAGAAUCGCUUAAAGCAGUAUCUGACAUGACCUCGGCCACGCGUAGGGCCCAUCUGAAGUGGAAGUGAGUUCUGUGUUGAGACUCGAGUCCCCUCCCCAAGACAUCUUGUUAGGUAUAAAUGCAGAUAUUCCAAAAUCCAGAAACAUCAGAAAUCCACAGCCCUUGGGGCCCAGGCCUAGUGGAUGAGGGACUCUCAGUCAGAGUGUCUGGAACCGGGGAGGCAUUUGGGAUCCAGCGCUGUCGCCCAGGGCUUCCGGCCCGGGUGAUGAUGGAGGCAGAGGAAAGACAUCGUCUUGGUGCCCACCACAGAGUGGGGACAACUGUGGAAUAGGAG
rnacentral:lncRNA from 1 species